AUUGAACGCUGGCGGAAUGCUUUACACAUGCAAGUCGAACGGCAGCACGGGUGCUUGCACCUGGUGGCGAGUGGCGAACGGGUGAGUAAUGCACCGGAACGUAUCCAAUAAUGGGGGAUAACGCACCGAAAGGUGUGCUAAUACCGCAUACGCCCUGAGGGGGAAAGCGGGGGAUCGUAAGACCUCGCGUUAAUGGAGCGGCCGAUGCCGGAUUAGCUAGUUGGUGAGGUAAAGGCUCACCAAGGCGACGAUCCGUAGCUGGUCUGAGAGGACGACCAGCCACACUGGAACUGAGACACGGUCCAGACUCCUACGGGAGGCAGCAGUGGGGAAUUUUGGACAAUGGGCGCAAGCCUGAUCCAGCCAUUCCGCGUGAGUGAGGAAGGCCU
rnacentral:rRNA from 1 species